GAUGAACGCUGGCGGCGUGCCUAAUACAUGCAAGUCGAGCGAAUGGAUUAAGAGCUUGCUCUUAUGAAGUUAGCGGCGGACGGGUGAGUAACACGUGGGUAACCUGCCCAUAAGACUGGGAUAACUCCGGGAAACCGGGGCUAAUACCGGAUAACAUUUUGAACCGCAUGGUUAGACAUCGAAAGGCGGCUUCGGCUGUCACUUAUUGUUGGACCCGCGUCGCAUUACCUAGUUGGUGAGGUAACGGCUCACCAAGGCAACGAUGCGUAGCCGACCUGGGAGGGUGAUCGGCCACACUGGGACUGAGACACGGCCCAGACUCCUACGGGAGGCAGCAGUAGGGAAUCUUCCGCAAUGGACGAAAGUCUGACGGAGCAACGCCGCGUGAGUGAUGAAGGCUUUCGGGUCGUAAAACUCUGUUGUUAGGGAAGAACAAGUGCUAGUUGAAUAAGCUGGCACCUUGACGGUACCUAACCAGAAAGCCACGGCUAACUACGUGCCAGCCGCCGCGGUAA
rnacentral:rRNA from 1 species